AGUGAACGCUGGCGGUAGGCCUAACACAUGCAAGUCGAACGGCAGCACAGUAAGAGCUUGCUCUUACGGGUGGCGAGUGGCGGACGGGUGAGGAAUACAUCGGAAUCUACUUUUUCGUGGGGGAUAACGUAGGGAAACUUACUCUAAUACCGCAUACGACCUACGGGUGAAAUCAGGGGAUCUUCGGACCUUCCUCGAUUGAAUGAGCCGAUGCCGGAUUAGCUCGUUGGCGGGGUAAAGGCCCACCAAGGCGACGAUCCGUAGCUGGUCUGAGAGGAUGUUCGGCCACCCUGGAACUGAGACACGGUCCAGACUCCUACGGGAGGCAGCAGUGGGGAAUAUUGGACAAUGGGCGCAAGCCUGAUCCAGCCAUACCGGGUGGGUGAAGAAGGCCUUCGGGUGGUAAAGCCCUUUUGUUGGGAAAGAAAAGCAGGAGGUUAAAACCCCGCUGUUCUGACGGUACCCAAAGAAUAAGCGCCGGCUAACUGCGUG
rnacentral:rRNA from 1 species